rnacentral:tRNA from 1 species
GCGGGCGUGGCGGAACGGCAGACGCGCCAGACUUAGGAUCUGGUGGGUAUCCCCCGUGGAGGUUCAAGUCCUCUCGCCCGCACCA